UGGGGAAUUUUCCGCAAUGGGCGAAAGCCUGACGGAGCAAUGCCGCGUGGAGGUGGAAGGCCUACGGGUCGUCAACUUCUUUUCUCGGAGAAGAAACAAUGACGGUAUCUAAGGAAUAAGCAUCGGCUAACUCUGUGCCAG
rnacentral:rRNA from 1 species